AGGCCGCCCGACGUGUUGACAAUCCCGAUAGGAGCCGUGUAUCUCGUUCUCAGGGCACGACCGGAUGGGACUAGCUGCAAGUAAAACCAAUCCUCGAGUUUCCUCACGGUGACCCUGCAGGCAACCCGUUUGGGACCAACACCAUGGGCACAGGCACCCUGUAUUAUGUUGAAUUAAUCCACGAGUAGUGCUAACUCCCUAUGUGUUACUAAUUUUGUUCAGUAUUAUUAUGUUGGGAAAUUAUAGUACC
rnacentral:lncRNA from 1 species